UUUAUAAGAAACACAAACGCAACUUUUAUUCGCUCACUAACAAACGAGCAACCGCGGUCCCAAGAACUUCUGGUAUACAGAGAGCGCUUCCGUGAAUCCGACAAAUAUUUCCUUCAACAUGAGAACUCUACUGUUUAUCUGCGGAAUCCUUCUUUUUGCCAGUUUUACGAAAAGCUCAGUAGGGAACCCAAUGGCAGGUCAAGCGGUGGCAGGCGCUUGUAGCGUGGAAAACGAAGAAUGGCAGAUCGGCUGUGACCAUUGCUAUUGCCGAAACCAAUCAGUGUUUUGUGAAACAAACCCUGACUGCGAGGAAGAAAAAUAAUGAUAAAAAGCAUUGAAAUUUUCAUGGGGGCUUUAUCUUUCAAAGGAAUAAGACAUCGUCCCAAGCCUUUGGUUGGAGAUCUAGUGUUCUUUACAUACUUGAGAUGGCAAUUAAAGUAGACUUGCAGAAAAGUAAA
rnacentral:lncRNA from 1 species